GGGGGCCCCGGCGGCGGCGCCGGCCAUAAAUGAGCGCGAGGAACGCCACGUUUAGCACCGCAUUCUGAACAAAAACGGCACAGACUCUGGAGCGCAGCCAAAAUGCCCGGAACGAAAGGUAACAAGUCGGACAAGAAGUCAACUACCAAGCAACCUCAGAGUCCUAAAGAGCAGCCGAAGAAAGGUGAUCAGAAAGGAGAUGACAACAAGAAGCAAGGAGGACAGCCGAAGGGAGAGAAGCAGUAACUUCCAGGCGUUUGUCAAGAUGGCGUUGGAGACGCUGCUGGGCUCCUGCCGUCGCAAACACGGGGGCCCUCGGGGCAGGCAGGGCUGACCUGAACCCCCGAUCCCCGACCCACCCCCACCCCCUUGACCGGGUUGCCGGGUGGCCUUUCCAACGAGAUUCUUGUUCAAGCAAAAUCAAACUGGUCUCCGCUCACCGCCGGCUCUCUCCACCUUUUGCCCCC